rnacentral:rRNA from 1 species
UACGUAGGGUGCAAGCGUUGUCCGGAAUUAUUGGGCGUAAAGAGCUCGUAGGCGGUUUGUCACGUCGGCUGUGAAAACCCGAGGCUCAACCUCGGGCCUGCAGUCGAUACGGGCAGACUAGAGUAUGGCAGGGGAGACUGGAAUUCCUGGUGUAGCGGUGAAAUGCGCAGAUAUCAGGAGGAACUCCGGUGGCGAAGGCGGCAUACUGGACCACUACUGACGCUGAUGCGCGAAAGCCAGGGGAGCAAACGGG